UAAACGCCGCAUAAACUAAUCAAGCGGUAGCCACGUGGAAAGUCAACAUCCUGUAGAAAAGGCAGAGCAUUUGGAAAACAACACGCUUAAGAAAAUACCAAAAAGUCUUAUAAUUCACAGGUCUCCUCCCCCUCGCGUGUCUUUUGAUCGAAUUUCACAGGGAGGAUAUAGGAUUGUGAAUAAUCGCGGAGAAUCAACCAUGUUUAAUCGGCUUUUUGGGAAACCUAAACAGGAAGCCAAUGCUCUAACUACGAUUGACAAGUUAACUGAGACUCUUGAAAUGCUUGAGAAAAAGGAGAAAGUUCUCCUUAAAAAGGCCUCUGCAGAGGUUGAAAGGGCCAAGGAAUACUCCAAAGCAAAGAACAAAAGAGCUGCCAUACAAUGUUUGAAGAGGAAGAGGCUAUAUGAACAACAAAUAGAGCAGCUUGGAAAUUUUCAGUUGCGCAUUCAUGAUCAGAUGAUUAUGUUAGAGGGUGCUAAAGCCACAACUGAGACUGUGGAUGCAUUGAGGACGGGAGCAGCUGCCAUGAAGGCAAUGCAGAAAGCAACGAAUAUAGAUGAUGUUGACAAGACCAUGGAUGAGAUCAAUGAGCAGACUGAGAACAUGAAACAGAUCCAGGAAGCAUUGUCAACUCCUAUUGGCUCAGCUGCCGAUUUUGAUGAGGAUGAGUUGGAAGCAGAACUUGAAGAAUUGGAAGGUGCAGAGUUGGAAGAACAGCUUCUUGAGCCUAUAGUCACAGCUCCAGCAGCUCCAGUGCAAGUUCCUGCUGGCAGGCAACAAGCUCACCCUGUUCCACGGAAGCGGACGGCUGAGGAAGAUGAACUUGCUGCCUUGCAAGCUGAGAUGGCACUUUAAGCAGGUAGCAAGAUUGUUUUUGAAGGAAAUCAUGAAGCUGCGUUGAGUUCCCAAGUUGCCAACUUUGGACUGAGAUGUCAAAUAUGGAUUAUACAAUUGGUUGUCGAUCUCAUCACAACAUUGAUGCACGGUUCUCCCCUUGUACAUGCACAAGGUAGGAACAAUGGAAUUAUACUCCAGGUUAAUAUUUUGUCAGAAUCUAUCGAUUACAAUUUUGGGUCAUAGACACAUUUGAAGUUAUCAAAACCACUUAUCUUUACUAUCUCUCCUCGUCAUUCAAGAUCAGGAUGUCAUUGCCAACCAAUCUGGCCUCAUCCACCAGCAAUGGGGAAAAGUGAAUUAAAUGGUCAAAAACGGACGUAUUUGUAGAGAUCCAACUUUUUAUGUGUACUGUUAAACUGUAAUUUGAGUGAAAAAAAAAAGUUUUUGAUAUAUAAAAAGAUAUGGUUUUAAAGAUUUA